CAGAUGUGAAAGACCCGGGGCGUCAACCUCGGAAUAGCAUUUGAAACUAGGCAGACUAGAGUACUGUAGAAGGGGGUAGGAAUUUCAGGUGUAGCGGUGAAAUAGCGUAGAGAUCUGAAGGAAUACCGGUGGCGAAGGCGGCCCCCUCGGACAGAUACUGACACUCAGAUGCGAAAGCGUGGGGAGCAAACAGGAUUAGAUACCCCUGGUAG
rnacentral:rRNA from 1 species